UACGUAGGUGGCAAGCGUUAUCCGGACUUAUUGGGCGUAAAGAGAACGCAGGCGGUCUUUUAAGUCUGAUGUGAAAGCCUUCGGCUUAACCGGAGUAGUGCAUUGGAAACUGGGAGACUUGAGUGCAGAAGAGGAGAGUGGAACUCCAUGUGUAGCGGUGAAAUGCGUAGAUAUAUGGAAGAACAUCAGUGGCGAAAGCGGCUCUCUGGUCUGUAACUGACGCUGAGGUUCGAAAGCGUGGGUAGCAAACAGG
rnacentral:rRNA from 1 species